rnacentral:rRNA from 1 species
GGGUUGUGAGGUUAAGCGACUAAGCGUACACGGUGGAUGCCCUGGCAGUCAGAGGCGAUGAAGGACGUGCUAAUCUGCGAUAAGCGUCGGUAAGGUGAUAUGAACCGUUAUAACCGGCGAUUUCCGAAUGGGGAAACCCAGUGUGUUUCGACACACUAUCAUUAACUGAAUCCAUAGGUUAAUGAGGCGAACCGGGGGAACUGAAACAUCUAAGUACCCCGAGGAAAAGAAAUCAACCGAGAUUCCCCCAGUAGCGGCGAGCGAACGGGGAGCAGCCCAGAGCCUGAAUCAGUGUGUGUGUUAGUGGAAGCGUCUGGAAAGGCGCGCGAUACAGGGUGACAGCCCCGUACACAAAAAUGCACAUACUGUGAGCUCGAUGAGUAGGGCGGGACACGUGGUAUCCUGUCUGAAUAUGGGGGGACCAUCCUCCAAGGCUAAAUACUCCUGACUGACCGAUAGUGAACCAGUACCGUGAGGGAAAGGCGAAAAGAACCCCGGCGAGGGGAGUGAAAAAGAACCUGAAACCGUGUACGUACAAGCAGUGGGAGCCUCUUAAUGGGGUGACUGCGUACCUUUUGUAUAAUGGGUCAGCGACUUAUAUUCUGUAGCAAGGUUAACCGAAUAGGGGAGCCGAAGGGAAACCGAGUCUUAACUGGGCGUUAAGUUGCAGGGUAUAGACCCGAAACCCGGUGAUCUAGCCAUGGGCAGGUUGAAGGUUGGGUAACACUAACUGGAGGACCGAACCGACUAAUGUUGAAAAAUUAGCGGAUGACUUGUGGCUGGGGGUGAAAGGCCAAUCAAACCGGGAGAUAGCUGGUUCUCCCCGAAAGCUAUUUAGGUAGCGCCUCGUGAAUUCAUCUCCGGGGGUAGAGCACUGUUUCGGCAAGGGGGUCAUCCCGACUUACCAACCCGAUGCAAACUGCGAAUACCGGAGAAUGUUAUCACGGGAGACACACGGCGGGUGCUAACGUCCGUCGUGAAGAGGGAAACAACCCAGACCGCCAGCUAAGGUCCCAAAGUCAUGGUUAAGUGGGAAACGAUGUGGGAAGGCCCAGACAGCCAGGAUGUUGGCUUAGAAGCAGCCAUCAUUUAAAGAAAGCGUAAUAGCUCACUGGUCGAGUCGGCCUGCGCGGAAGAUGUAACGGGGCUAAACCAUGCACCGAAGCUGCGGCAGCGACACUAUGUGUUGUUGGGUAGGGGAGCGUUCUGUAAGCCUGUGAAGGUGUACUGUGAGGUAUGCUGGAGGUAUCAGAAGUGCGAAUGCUGACAUAAGUAACGAUAAAGCGGGUGAAAAGCCCGCUCGCCGGAAGACCAAGGGUUCCUGUCCAACGUUAAUCGGGGCAGGGUGAGUCGACCCCUAAGGCGAGGCCGAAAGGCGUAGUCGAUGGGAAACAGGUUAAUAUUCCUGUACUUGGUGUUACUGCGAAGGGGGGACGGAGAAGGCUAUGUUGGCCGGGCGACGGUUGUCCCGGUUUAAGCGUGUAGGCUGGUUUUCCAGGCAAAUCCGGAAAAUCAAGGCUGAGGCGUGAUGACGAGGCACUACGGUGCUGAAGCAACAAAUGCCCUGCUUCCAGGAAAAGCCUCUAAGCAUCAGGUAACAUCAAAUCGUACCCCAAACCGACACAGGUGGUCAGGUAGAGAAUACCAAGGCGCUUGAGAGAACUCGGGUGAAGGAACUAGGCAAAAUGGUGCCGUAACUUCGGGAGAAGGCACGCUGAUAUGUAGGUGAAGUCCCUUGCGGAUGGAGCUGAAAUCAGUCGAAGAUACCAGCUGGCUGCAACUGUUUAUUAAAAACACAGCACUGUGCAAACACGAAAGUGGACGUAUACGGUGUGACGCCUGCCCGGUGCCGGAAGGUUAAUUGAUGGGGUUAGCGGUAACGCGAAGCUCUUGAUCGAAGCCCCGGUAAACGGCGGCCGUAACUAUAACGGUCCUAAGGUAGCGAAAUUCCUUGUCGGGUAAGUUCCGACCUGCACGAAUGGCGUAAUGAUGGCCAGGCUGUCUCCACCCGAGACUCAGUGAAAUUGAACUCGCUGUGAAGAUGCAGUGUACCCGCGGCAAGACGGAAAGACCCCGUGAACCUUUACUAUAGCUUGACACUGAACAUUGAGCCUUGAUGUGUAGGAUAGGUGGGAGGCUUUGAAGUGUGGACGCCAGUCUGCAUGGAGCCGGCCUUGAAAUACCACCCUUUAAUGUUUGAUGUUCUAACGUUGGCCCCUGAUCGGGGUUGCGGACAGUGUCUGGUGGGUAGUUUGACUGGGGCGGUCUCCUCCUAAAGAGUAACGGAGGAGCACGAAGGUUGGCUAAUCCUGGUCGGACAUCAGGAGGUUAGUGCAAUGGCAUAAGCCAGCUUGACUGCGAGCGUGACGGCGCGAGCAGGUGCGAAAGCAGGUCAUAGUGAUCCGGUGGUUCUGAAUGGAAGGGCCAUCGCUCAACGGAUAAAAGGUACUCCGGGGAUAACAGGCUGAUACCGCCCAAGAGUUCAUAUCGACGGCGGUGUUUGGCACCUCGAUGUCGGCUCAUCACAUCCUGGGGCUGAAGUAGGUCCCAAGGGUAUGGCUGUUCGCCAUUUAAAGUGGUACGCGAGCUGGGUUUAGAACGUCGUGAGACAGUUCGGUCCCUAUCUGCCGUGGGCGCUGGAGAACUGAGGGGGGCUGCUCCUAGUACGAGAGGACCGGAGUGGACGCAUCACUGGUGUUCGGGUUGUCAUGCCAAUGGCA